rnacentral:rRNA from 1 species
UUCGCCUGUUUUUCAAAAACAUGGUUUUUUGUUGGAAUAAAAAAUCUAAUCUGCCCAAUGAUUAAGAAUUGAAUGGCCGCGGUAUAUUGACCGUGCGAAGGUAGCAUAAUCAUUUGCUUUUUAAUUGGAGGCUGGAAUGAAUGAUUUGACGGAAAAGGUCUGUCUUAAUUUUAAGUUUUUAAGUUUACUUUUUAGUGAGAAGGCUAAAAUGUUAUCAAGGGACGAGAAGACCCUAUUAAGCUUUAUUUUUAUUAUUUUUUUGUUUUAUGUUUUCAUAUACAAAAAAUAGUGAAAAUUUUACUGGGGCGGUAGAGAAAGAGAAAGAUCUUUUUUUAAAAAUUAAAACAUUUAUGUUAAUUUUUGAUCCAUUAUUAAUGAUAAAAAGAAGAAGUUACUAUAGGGAUAACAGCGUAAUUUUUUCGGAGAGUUCAUAUCGGCGAAGAAGUUUGCGACCUCGAUGUUGAAUUAAAGAGUCAGUAAGGCGAAGAAGUUUUAUAUGAGGGUCGUCGACCUUUUUUC